GACGAACGCUGGCGGCGUGCUUAACACAUGCAAGUCGAACGGAAAGGCCCUGCUUGCCGGGUACUCGAGUGGCGAACGGGUGAGUAACACGUGGGUGAUCUGCCCUGCACUUCGGGAUAAGCCUGGGAAACUGGGUCUACUACCGGAUAGGAGCCAUUUUUAGUGUGAUGGUUGGAAAGUUUUUUCGGUGUAGGAUGAGCUCGCGGCCUAUCAGCUUGUUGGUGGGGUAAUGGCCUACCAAGGCGGCGACGGGUAGCCGGCCUGAGAGGGUGGACGGCCACAUUGGGACUGGGAUACGGCCCAGACUCCUACGGGAGGCAGCAGUGGGGAAUAUAGCACAAUGGGCGGAAGCCUGAUGCAGCGACGCCGCGUGGGGGAUGACGGCCUUCGGGUGGUAAACUCCUUUCGCUAGGGACGAAGCUUUUGUGACGGUACCUAGAUAAGAAGCACCGGCUAACUACGU
rnacentral:rRNA from 1 species